AAAAUAUUUUCAGACAGAUCGAGAACUGUCUCUCCACCGAAAAAUAAGCGAUGACGAAAGAAUCUACAAACGAUGAUGAAUCCAAAGGUUUAUGUCUUCUAUAUGAGUAAAAAAAGAUCAAAAUCAAAACAGAUUAAGGUACAUGCAAAUCUGUUUGCAUGCAGCAGUAUCCAGCUAUGAACUAAUAGCAAAGGUCUUAUAUUAUGUUCGUUCAAAAGACAAUACCAGAUGAAUGCUAUGUCUCUGAAACCAGAAGAAAAGACUGGAGAGCUUGAGAGGAAUAUGAAAUAGUAGCCGAUUGAGGAGUAUACAUCUUCCUCCCUAUAAGAGAUUGGAGUAAAAAGGAUACAUACCAGAUGGCUGCUAUAUAUAUAUCUGAAACCAGAAGAGAAAACUGGAGAGAUCGAGAGGAAUUCAAAAAAUCAAAGAUAAGUAAUUUCCUGAAAAAGAAAUAAUUAUGCUUAUCAUAAUAUGCAUAUAUUAAAGUUUUCAUAUGCAUUCAGUUUUAAACAUAAGUUGUAUUUCAUUUGUGAUUAAGAUAAAAUAUAAAGGAGAUUAAUUUUAAUUUUAAUUUAUUAUAUUAAAACAGAAGUCAUGACUUCUAAUUCAUGUAUGUUUUUGAAAAAUGGACUACUUACUAGACUUGGUCAAACUGCAUUUUUAUCUAUUAUUAAUCUUCAUAUUAAAUAAUAUCAUUUAAUAUCUUCAUUUUUAUUUAAGAUAAAAAUAAAUAUUAAUUUAAAAAAAUUCUCACUAAAUCUUUGAAGAAUUUUUUCAGAAUCCUUUUAAAAUUUAUUUUCGAAAAUUGAUUAAUUUAAAUUUUAGUUGUCAUAAAAUAUAAUUAGAAAUUUAAAUUUAAUUUAGUUUUGAUUUAUAAACAAAAAAUAAAAUUAUAUAAAAUAUUGUAAUAAUAAUAAUAGCCACUUAAAAUGAUUACUUUUCAAAAAUAAAUUUUACAAAGAUUUUAAAAAGAUUUUGUUGGAAAGCAAUAUCCAUCUCUGUUUAAUUAUAUAACAUAUAUGAAAAAUUAACUUAUCUUAAAAUUUUAUAUAUACAAUGAUCUAUUAUAUAAACUGAAUAAACAAAACAAAUUACUAAAAGAAAUCUAGCACUCUGAAUUACGGGUCGGGAUUAUAGUAAAUUAAAUACAAAAUAAUUCUGAAGUAUGCAAUUUCUAACAAAUCUAACAUUUUAAUUAAAAUUACUAUAUUGAACUAAAAAGGAUAAAAUUAUCUUAAAUUGAUAAGUUAGUAUAUUUUAUUUUCAUAAAUAUAAAACAUUUAUUCUAAAAAUAUAAUAUGUUGGUAGAAUGGUUUAACAUUAAUAAACUAUAUAAUACAUGCAUACAAAAUUAAAUUUUCUUAAACUUUUAUAUAUACAAUAAUUUAUUAUAUAAACUGAAUAAACAAAACAAAAUUCUCAAGAAAAUCUAGCACUUUGAAUUACAGGUCGGGAUCAUAAUAAAUUAAAUAUAAAAUAAAUACAUAAUAAGAAGCAAUAUCUUAUAUAUUAAAACAGAAGUCACAACUUCAUUUCAUGUGUGAAUUUUUUAAAAAAUGGACCUAGCUAUUCCUAGAAACUCAUGUUACAUUAAUUAACUAAUCAAAUAAUUAUUAUAGCCUCAUUCCUAGACACUAUAGUUACAACAAUACUCCUAAAUUUUCGGCAGCUAUUACCAGAUGAAAUUAUUUCAAAUUAAAUGAGCAUUCCAUACGAGUUUAAUGUGCAAAUUAUUAUAUGUACUUAACCAACUAUAACCAGAAUAAAUUACUCCAAAUUAAAUGAAGUUGAUUCAUUCAUGGAGAUAGAUAGAAAAGCAACUAUAGAGUCGAUCUUUACGGAUGAAAGAGUGAUAUGAUUUAUAAUUGCUACUAGAUCUUGAUCUGCGGGGUAUUAUGUAAAUAUUUCGAAUAUAAUAGUUUUAAAUUUUACAUGUUGUAAUUAAUUAGUUGUUUAGAACUGUCACAUGUAUUUUCUUUUAUUAUAUAUUUAUUUUUUGUAUUUAUAUUUACUUAUUAAAAAAAUAAUAUAUGCAUGAAAUAACAUAUUUGAAAAUUAUUUUGUAUUAAAAUUUUACUCAAUUAUGAUUCGCCGACCUUCAAAACUAAAUUUCAUUUUAGCAAUAUUAUAAAACAGAAGUCACAACUUCAUUUCAUGUGUUAUUUUUUUUUAAAAACGGACCUAGCUAUUCCUAGAAACUCAUGUUACAUUAGUUAACUAAUCAAAUAAUUAUUAUAGCCUCAUUCCUAGACACUAUAGUUACAACAAUACUCCUAAAUUUUCGGCAGCUAUUACCAGAUGAAAUUAUUUCAAAUUAAAUGAGCAUUCCAUACGAGUUUAAUGUGCAAAUUAUUAUAUGUACUUAACCAACUAUAACCAGAAUAAAUUACUCCAAAUUAAAUGAAGUUGAUUCAUUCAUGGAGAUAGAUAGAAAAGCAACUAUGGAGUUGAUCUUUAAGGAUGAAAGAGUGAUAUGAUUUAUAAUUGCUACUAGAUCUUGAUCUGCGGGGGUAUUAUAUAAAUAUUUCGAAUAUAAUAAUUUUAAAUUUUACAUGUUGUAAUUAAUUAAUUGUUUAGAACUGUCACAUGUAUUUUCUCUUUUAUUAUAUAUUUAUUUUUGUAUUUAUAUUUACUUAUUAAAAAAAAUUAAUAUAUGCAUGAAAUAACAUAUUUGAAAAUUAUUUUGUAUUAAAAUUUUACUCAAUUAUGAUUCGCCGACCUUCAAAACUAAAUUUUAUUUUAGCAAUAUUAUAAAACAGAAGUCGCAACUUCAUUUCAUGUGUGAUUUUUUUUAAAAAAAUGGACCUAGCUAUUCCUAGAAACUCAUGUUACAUUAAUUAACUAAUCAAAUAAUUAUUAUAGCCUCAUUCCUAGACACUAUAGUUACAACAAUACUCCUAAAUUUUUGGCAGCUAUUACCAGAAUAAAUUAUUUCAAAUUAAAUGAGCAUUCCAUACCAGUCUAAUGUGCAAAUUAUUAUAUGUACUUAACCAACUAUAACCAGAAUAAAUUACUCCAAAUUAAAUGAAGUUGAUUCAUUCGUGGAGAUAGAUAGAAAAGCAACUAUAGAGUUGAUCUUUACGGAUGAAAGAGUGACAUGAUUUAUAAUUGCUACUAGAUCUUGAUCUGCGGGGGUAUUAUGUAAAUAUUUCGAAUAUAAUAAUUUUAAAUUUUACAUGUUGUAAUUAAUUAAUUGUUUAGAACUGUCACAUGUAUUUUCUCUUUUAUUAUAUAUUUAUUUUUGUAUUUAUAUUUACUUAUUAAACAAAUUAAUAUAUGCAUGAAAUAACAUAUUUGAAAAUUAUUUUGUAUUAAAAUUUUACUCAAUUAUGAUUCACUGACCUUCAAAACUAAAUUUCAUUUUAGCAACAUUUUAUUAUAUAUACAAAAAUGUAAGAUAUUUUGAUUUUAUACAUGUAUUAUAUAGUUUCAGAAUGUUAAGUAGUUCUGUCAUAGUAUUAUAUUUAAUUUUAUC